UUGUGGAGGAGGACGCCGAAGGUGGGGCUAAUGACUGGGGUGAAGUCGUAACAAGGUAGCCGUACCGGAAGGUGCGGCUGGAUCACCUCCUAACAGGGAGACAACAAAAUGUUUAAUUUUAUUAUUUUGUCACCUUAGGUCGAUCGGUAUCUCACGUUCUUAUCUUAUUAAGAAUUUCAUUUCCUAAGUUUUUCUAGGUCACACCCAUUAUUUUUCCUGGGCCAUUAGCUCAGGUGGUUAGAGCGCACCCCUGAUAAGGGUGAGGUCCCUGGUUCAAGUCCAGGAUGGCCCAUAUCUCUAUGUUGGGGGUAUAGCUCAGUUGGUAGAGCGCCUGCUUUGCAAGCAGGAUGUCAGCGGUUCGAGUCCGCUUACCUCCACUGAUUACCACCUCUUCCAUAAUUGGUAGAAAGGAAACAUUUUAAGUUGUGACCAAAUUCUGAACGAAUCUAGCUUCCUAAUGAAAUCAUUAAGAUGCUGGACUCAUUGAAUUAAUUUCAUUGUUUUCAGAGAACCUUGACAACUGCAUAGAUUAUUUUUAAAGACAAUAAGCAUCUUUAAUGAUGCAGAUUUAUUAUUUGUGCGAAUGCAUUAAUAACAAUUCUAUUAAGCUGAUGCUUCAAUUUUGAAGUUAUUGGUCAAGCUACAA
rnacentral:misc_RNA from 1 species